ACCAUCCAGAAUGGUGGGUUUUUCCCUGGGAACCUGGUAAGAGGGUUCAUUGGGAAACUGGAGUUCGUCCAAGGAAGGCGACCAUGGGAAAGAGCCAUCUCACACCUGUCAGUCAGGAGACUCUAGCUGCUCAUCUCUUCAAACAGGACCUCUGAAUUAGGAAAUCAACUCUCCACCGCUGUUACAAGAAGCAACAUCUGGAAUAAAUAUGAUUUCUCAAAAGGAUGAAUCUCAAGGAGUGACAGAACCUGAUGCUGCCUAGGAGUGACCAGUGGCCAACAUGCAGGAACAGGUGAGAUGUCUGGUCACGGUGCAUUGUUUCUGCAGGGAAGUCACUGUGGAGCAGCUAUGAAGGUCCUGGAAUCGCUAUAAAUGCA